AUGGAUUGCAAUAUCAGUGCUAACCCCCCAAAAAACAAAACCACCCAACAAUGGAAACAAAACACACACACCAAAAAAAAAAAGAAAAAAAAAGAAAUCUGUCACCAGUUAAAUGCUAAAACCACAGGCCAGCAAGACCUCAGUAAUAUGCUCUAUUGCUCUGUUCUUCAGCAGAUUCAAAGAAGAGAAGUGGUGGUGUUUGUGGACCAGGAUAUUCACAGCCAUGGAAGCACUUCUUGCAGAUGCAACUCCUGGGCUUCUGCAUGGGAGCACCUCUGUAUUUACUUGUAUUUUAAGAUGCAUCAAGCAGCUGUGGGACUUGUAGAUGAAGUUUUUACUCUGGGCUCAAAGACACAUUAAGCUGUCUAUGAAGUGAAGGACAUCUGCAGUCACUAGUCUGGUAGUCUCCAAACUGGCCACACCAUUUGGUCUGCACUCUUAUACAGGUAGGUAAACAUUUAAACUAUGUUAUACAGGCAUACAUACAAUAUUUGAUGAAAUGUUCUCUUAAAUACUAUUCAGAAAAAAAAAGCCAUAGUUUUUGCAGUUGCUUAAAUGAUGAUAGCAUGCAUGCUUUCGAUACUUUUAAGGAACACUGGGAUAUAUAAUUAUUUCUCUAUAAAAUUAUUUCUAAAAAAUUUUCCAUUGUAGGCUGGAUUGUAUACAGUGUACAACUGUGUAGUAGUGACUUUUGUAAGUCCUUAGAAAAAUACAAUGUUCUUAAAAUGGCUUCAUUCAUUGCAGAAGUAGUUUUAAAAAUAUUUAAUUUACAGUACUUCUUCAGCUUCCUGUGCAGCCUGUCUUGAAAAGAUCACCUGUUUGAGCAUUUUGCCUUAAAUCUUAGCCACUUCAGAGAUUGUUAUAAAAUACUGUGAAGAAAUGGUCUAGUUUUUAAGUCUCUAUUCAGCAAAAAGGAACAAAUCCAAAGAAGAUUAUAAACAGAGAGAGUAUGUUUAUAUUUGGGAGUCCACAGUGUAUUGGUUUAGAAAGCUUUUCUACAUUCUAGCCAUGGAGCUUUAUAAACACGGAUUGAUUCAUUAUUUUUGAUCUGCUGGAACAGUAAUCAUCCUCUUAAUGGCUUUGGUACUCUUCUGUUCAAGCAGUGGUGUGAUGCUGAACUACCUAUAGCUGAUCU
rnacentral:lncRNA from 1 species